rnacentral:rRNA from 1 species
AACCGGCCUGACAGGUGACCGGCCACACUGGGACUGAGAUACGGCCCAGACUCUUACGGGAGGCAGCAGUGGGGAAUAUUGCACAAUGGGCGCACGCCUGAUGCAGCGACGCCGCGUGAGGGAUGACGGCCUUCGGGUUGUAAACCUCUUUCAGCAGGGACGAAGCGCAAGUGACGGUACCUGCAGAAGAAGGACCGGCUAACUACGUGCCAGCAGCCGCGGUAAUACGUAGGGUGCGAGCGUUGUCCGGAAUUACUGGGCGUAAAGAGCUCGUAGGCGGUUUGUCGCGUCGUUUGUGAAAACCCGGGGCUCAACUGCGGGCUUGCGGGCGAUACGGGCAGACUUGAGUGCUGCAGGGGAGACUGGAAUUCCUUA